rnacentral:rRNA from 1 species
AUUGAACGCUGGCGGCAGGCCUAACACAUGCAAGUCGAACGAGUGGCGGACGGGAGUGACACGUCUGGAACCCUGCCCGAUGGAGGGGGAUAAAUCCUGGAACCGGUAGCUAAUCCCGCUUACCAUCGGAUUUGCCCAGAUGGGAUUAGCUAGUAGGUGGGGUAAUGGCUCACCUAGGCGACGAUCCCUAGCUGGUCUGAGAGGAUGACCAGCCACACUGGGACUGAGACACGGUCCAGACGCCUACGGGAGGCAGCAGUGGGGAAUAUUGCACAAUGGGCGCAAGCCUGAUGGAGCCAUGCCGCGUGUAUGAAGAAGGUCUUCGGGUUGUAAAGUACUGUCAGCGGGGAGGCGUUACCCGCAGAAGAAGCACCGGCUAACUCCGUGCCAGCAGCCGCGGUAAUUC